rnacentral:lncRNA from 1 species
AAAACCAAGCACAUAUCCAUGAUCUAUGAUAAACAGGCUUCACAACGCAUAUAUCAAUUAAAUGAAUCAUGAGAUUCGAAAAAACCUCAAACCUGGAAAUGGCAGUAUUGCUCGUGAUGUUUCCACGCCUAUGAGUUCAAAACAGCAGCGCAGCAAUCUUCAGGAAGUUGAAUUCCAAGCUCAGGUUCCAUUAAUGUUGCUUCUAGUGUGCGAAUUCUUGAUUU